rnacentral:piRNA from 1 species
UGACAAAUGGACCAGCACAGGGUCAAUGGUC